CAGAAUUACAGAAAAGGAGAUCAUUUGCAGCCAUGGGAUCUUCAACCGCAUGUGAGAGCAAUCUGGAGAGACUUUGACAGCUCAUGUCAGCAUAAUACCUGCAGCUGCCACUUGCCUUUCUUAUAAUA